rnacentral:rRNA from 1 species
UACGGGGGGGGGGCAAGCGUUUGUUCGGAAUUACUGGGCGUAAAGGGCUCGUAGGCGGCCAACUAAGUCGGACGUGAAAUCCCUCGGCUUAACCGGGGAACUGCGUCCGAUACUGGAUGGCUCGAGUUUGGGAGAGGGAUGCGGAAUUCCAGGUGUAGCGGUGAAAUGCGUAGAUAUCUGGAGGAACACCGGUGGCGAAGGCGGCAUCCUGGACCAAUAUUGACGCUGAGGAGCGAAAGCCAGGGGAGCAAACGGGAUUAGAUACC